AUUGGGCGUAAAGCGCACGUAGGUGGCGCUGUAAGUUAGACGUGAAAGCUCUCGGCUCAACUGAGAGAGGUCGUUUAAAACUGCAGUGCUUGAGGUUAGAAGAGGAGAGCAGAAUUCCCGGUGUAAUGGUGGAAUGCGUAGAUAUCGGGAGGAAUACCAGUGGCGAAGGCGGCUCUCUAGUCUACACCUGACACUGAGGUGCGAAAGCGUGGGUAGCGAACGGGAUUAGAUACCCCGGUAGUCCACGCUGUAAACGAUGGAUACUAGGUGUAGGGGGUCAUUUAACCCCUCUGUGCCGAAGCAAACGCGUUAAGUAUCCCGCCUGGGGACUACGGCCGCAAGGUUAGAACUCAAAGGAAUUGACGGGGGCCCGCACAAGCAGCGGAGCGUGUGGUUUAAUUCGAUGAUACGCGAAGAACCUUACCUGGGCUGAACUACGUGGUAGUAGUGAAGCGAAAGCGGAUCGACCCUUCGGGGAGCCUCGAUAGGUGCUGCAUGGCUGUCGUCAGCUCGUGUCGUGAGAUGUUGGGUUAAGUCCCGCAACGAGCGCAACCCUCGUCGCUAGUUACAAGUGUCUAGCGAGACUGCCGGUAUCAAACCGGAGGAAGGUGGGGAUGACGUCAAGUCAGCAUGGUCUUUAUGUCCAGGGCUACACACACGCUACAAUGGUCGGUACAAUAGGUUGCCACACCGCGAGGUGGAGCUAAUCCUCAAAGCCGAUCUCAGUUCGGAUUGUAGUCUGCAACUCGACUACAUGAAGGCGGAGUUGCUAGUAACCGCGCGUCAGCAUAGUGCGGUGAAUGCGUUCCCGGGCCUGUACACACCGCCCGUCACAUCAUGGGAGUCGGUAACACACUGAAGUCAGGUGACCUAACCGAAAGGGGGGAGCUGCCUAAGGUGG
rnacentral:rRNA from 1 species